rnacentral:rRNA from 1 species
GGGCUUGACAUCCCACGAACCUGCCUGAAAGGGCGGGGUGCCCGCAAGGGAGCGUGGAGACAGGUGGUGCAUGGCUGUCGUCAGCUCGUGUCGUGAGAUGUUGGGUUAAGUCCCGCAACGAGCGCAACCCUCACCCCUAGUUGCCACCGGGUAACGCCGAGCACUCGAGGGGAACUGCCAUCGUCAAGCUGGAGGAAGGCGGGGAUGACGUCAAGUCAUCAUGCCCCUUACGCCCUGGGCUACACACGUGCUACAAUGGCCAGUACAAAGGGACGCGAGACCGCGAGGUGGAGCAAAUCCCAAAAAGCUGGCCUAAGUUCAGAUUGCAGUCUGCAACUCGACUGCAUGAAGGAGGAAUCGCUAGUAAUCGCGCAUCAGCACGGCGCGGUGAAUACGUUCCCGGGCCUUGUACACACCGCCCGUCACACCACGAAAGCUGGCUGUACUCGAAGUCGCUGAGA